CCCGGUGAUUCUAGCGGAGGGGUCACACCCGUUCCCAUUCCGAACACGGAAGUUAAGCCCUCCAGCGCCGAUGGUACUGCACGGGUGACUGUGUGGAAGAGUAGGCCGUUGCCGGGA
rnacentral:rRNA from 1 species